rnacentral:lncRNA from 1 species
AGCGGUUUUAUGUGAUAAUAGCUGUGACGUCCCCAAAAUAUGUUCACACAAUCCAUUCUGAGUCGUCAAAUACAUGGUACAGAAUUCAAAUACAAACUUUAUUUAUACAACUAUUAAUUAUCCUGUAAAAUAUAACAAAACAUAAGAUGUAAGUUUCAAUACAAAUAUUAUCUCGUAGACAAUAUUCAAACUCAAAUAAAGUCCUUAUUAUAAUUAUUGUCACACUAUUUUAUAAAAUAGUGAAGACUAAUAUAAUAAUCAUUUUGGACCAUUACUCCACUCCCCGACUAGUCUCAGCUACAUUCACGCGUCCUGAGAAGAACAAUGGAACCAAAAGAAAAAAGGUGAGCUCAACUAGCCCAGUAAAGAAUAUUAUGACUAAGAUAAUGUAGAACAAAUUAUCCUUAAUCCUCAACAGGGAAAAAUCUGAUAGAAUACAAUAGACAACAAGUUUUAGAUCAACAAUUGCGGAAACAACAAUCUUUAGAAGAGUCAAGUAAAGUAUAAUGUCUACUAUCUUUUAUGAUUUAAAAGUUCAUCAUCAAUAUUUUAUCCCUGUAACACCAAUUAAUAAUUAUUUUCAAUCAACGAAUUAUCUAUGCGCAACGAGCCAAAGAUAAUCGUUUGCAUCACCAGUGGUUAUGAUUAUGUCAAAGAUCUGUUCAUUACGGGCCAAAUAGGACUUUCACCACAAACUUUAUCUGUAACAUUAAAGAUCAUAAUUAUACAAUUACACAAUUCUUAGUCAUAAUCAAACCAAUCAACAGCUCAUCUUUGCAGUACGGACCAAAGAUACUUUCAGCAUAAUAUAAGUAUGAGGAUGAUGACAAUGAUAUAAAGAAUCAAUCAAGUGAGAUCAAUGAUAAAUAUUAGAGAUUUAUAAUUCAAUUUAUCCAGAGUUCAAGAAUGUCCAAAUUGUCAACAUGAUAAUUAAUUGUGGAGUAAAAUUCAAAAAUAAUAUUUAAGAAGAUAAUUUGGACAAAGAAAAGAAACUAAAUUUCGUCGUGAAUAGUAUCGUAUGAAUAACACUCACGAAUAGUACCGUAUGAAUAGUAUUCCGGAUGAAUAGUGCCCCGACAUGAAAAGAUUAAAAUUUAGUAAGAAAAUUUAGACCAAUAUUCUAAUGAAAUGAUAUUAGAUGAAGCGCAAACCUUAAGAAAUUUUUAAUCAUUUCAGGAAUUAUAAAAACAAUACUUACUAUAAUAAAUUUAAAUUUAGGAAUAUGAAAUGAAAUAAUAUCACUUACAUAAUAUAAAGUAUGAAAAAAAAUAAUAUCUCUUACGAGCUAGUAUUGAAAGAAAAUAACACCCUUUACUUUAGAAGAAAAUUAGAUUUAACUGGAAUAUUGAAUAUUAUCUUGCGAAAAUCUUGUACUUAUAUUCAAGAGAAAUACUCACAAUAUUAUAGAAUAAAAAUUUCU